AGAGUUUGAUCCUGGCUCAGAUUGAACGCUGGCGGAAUGCCUAACACAUGCAAGUCGAGCGGGGUAGCAAUAUCCAGCGGCGGACGGGUGAGGAAUACAUAGGAAUCUGCCUUUAGGUGGGGGAUAGCUUGGGGAAACUCAGGGUAAUACCGCAUGAUCUCGCAAGAGCAAAGUGGGGGAUCGCAAGACCUCACGCCUUUAGAGGAGCCUAUGUCUGAUUAGCUUGUUGGUGAGGUAAUGGCUCACCAAGGCGACGAUCAGUAACUGGUCUGAGAGGACGAUCAGUCACACCGGAACUGAGACACGGUCCGGACUCCUACGGGAGGCAGCAGUGGGGAAUAUUGGACAAUGGGCGAAAGCCUGAUCCAGCCAUGCCGCGUGUGUGAAGAAGGUCUUCGGAUUGUAAAGCACUUUAAGUUGGGAGGAAGGGCAGUUACCUAAUACGUAAUUGUUUUGACGUUACCGACAGAAUAAGCACCGGCUAACUCUGUGCCAGCAGCCGCGGUAAUACAGAGGGUGCAAGCGUUAAUCGGAAUUACUGGGCGUAAAGCGCGCGUAGGUGGUUCGUUAAGUUGGAUGUGAAAUCCCCGGGCUCAACCUGGGAACUGCAUUCAAAACUGACGAGCUAGAGUAUGGUAGAGGGUGGUGGAAUUUCCUGUGUAGCGGUGAAAUGCGUAGAUAUAGGAAGGAACACCAGUGGCGAAGGCGACCACCUGGACUGAUACUGACACUGAGGUGCGAAAGCGUGGGGAGCAAACAGGAUUAGAUACCCUGGUAGUCC
rnacentral:rRNA from 1 species